UACGUAUGGAGCAAGCGUUAUCCGGAUUUAUUGGGUUUAAAGGGUGCGUAGGCGGUCCGUUAAGUCAGCGGUAAAAUGUCCGGGCUCAACCCGGGCCGGCCGUUGAAACUGGGGAUCUUGAGUGGGCGAGAAGUAUGCGGAAUGCGUGGUGUAGCGGUGAAAUGCAUAGAUAUCACGCAGAACUCCGAUUGCGAAGGCAGCAUACCGGCGCCCGACUGACGCUGAGGCAUGAAAGCGUGGGGAUCGAACAGG
rnacentral:rRNA from 1 species